GAUGAACGCUGGCGGCGUGCCUAAUACAUGCAAGUCGAGCGAACGGACGAGAAGCUUGCUUCUCUGAUGUUAGCGGCGGACGGGUGAGUAACACGUGGAUAACCUACCUAUAAGACUGGGAUAACUUCGGGAAACCGUAGCUAAUACCGGAUAAUAUUUUGAACCGCAUGGUUCAAAAGUGAAGGACGGUCUUGCUGUCACUUAUAGAUGGAUCCGCGCUGCAUUAGCUAGUUGGUAAGGUAACGGCUUACCAAGGCAACGAUGCAUAGCCGACCUGAGAGGGUGAUCGGCCACACUGGAACUGAGACACGGUCCAGACUCCUACGGGAGGCAGCAGUAGGGAAUCUUCCGCAAUGGGCAAAAGCCUGACGGAGCAACGCCGCGUGAGUGAUGAAGGUCUUCGGAUCGUAAAACUCUGUUAUUAGGGAAGAACAUAUGUGUAAGUAACUGUGCACAUCUUGACGGUACCUAAUCAGAAAGCCACGGCUAACUACGUG
rnacentral:rRNA from 1 species